rnacentral:rRNA from 1 species
CCGGCACGGGUGAGUAACACGUAUCCAACCUGCCGUCUACUCUUGGACAGCCUUCUGAAAGGAAGAUUAAUACAAGAUGGCAUCAUGAGUCCACAUGUUCACAUGAUUAAAGGUAUUCCGGUAGACGAUGGGGAUGCGUUCCAUUAGAUAGUAGGCGGGGUAACGGCCCACCUAGUCUUCGACGGAUAGGGGUUCUGAGAGGAAGGUCCCCCACAUUGGAACUGAGACACGGUCCAA